CUUAUAGGGCUCUGAUGGAAGUUUUACACUACAGGCUUCCUCCAAACAACAAGAACAAGCGUAGGUGAAAUCAAUUCAAGUACAAUCCUAGAUGAAUCUGAAUUCACCGGGUUUCCAUGUGGAAUAUCGUGUCCCUCCCUUUGGGCCAUCUGGCAUUUAAAUUCCUGGGAGUCUUGGCUGCUGCACAUCCUUUCAGACCCAC